GGGUGGGUGGGAGAUGGGGUUCUUAGCUCCAGUGUUUCAGAUCCAGUGAUUUCCCUGGAAGUGACUCAUUUGUCAGGAGUAUGUGACAAGCAAAAGUGAGCAGUUACUUCUACAGAGCUACAUUGUUCCCUUUGGAUUUUGAAGCAUUUCAAGGAUUUGACCCUUUUAACCUUAGCAAGAGAUCAUUAAAGGCAGGUUUAAAGUGCCAUAUUUAGAAAACAAUAUCCCGUGUUACUGUUUAAGACUUUUACUGUAAGUCAAGGAGUGUCAUGAUUUUAUUCUUGCAUUUUAUUGAUUAUGUGUUGAAUGAAACAAAUUACUUUUUAAUACCUUCCCAGUGGAAUUCUUGUUGGUAGCAGGUAGAGAAAAGUGAAUGCAGGUCUCUAUACCCUAGGAUUGUAUCAGACAUUAUAACAUUACAUUACAAACCACACUACUAGCCAAUGAUAUCCCUCUUGUGCCAUAAUUAAAAGCAUGGCAUUAAAUAAAGAAGAUGUUCAAAUAAAUGGAGGUAGGAGGCUAUGUUUAGGAACUAGGAAUGUGGUAGAUAAAGUAAACAGAUGACUCAAUGAAAGUCUUGGACCUGUUAAACUGAUUUAGAUUUUACCCCAGGGCAAGAAAUACUCUACGGUCUAAUUACAGGGUUAAGAAUGAUGACAGAAGGGAUAAUGUACUAGAUUCAGGGCCAGUAGAGACCCUAUCUCUCUUCCUUAUUCCCUGACUAAUCUCUUCUCUUUCUUAUGAUACCAGUUCUGUCUCCAGAUAACCCCAAAACUUCCCCUUUCUCCACUGGUCCUCUGGGAGGUAUAUUUCUACCAGAUACCAUGAUCCAAAAUGACCCCUUCAUUUUUAUUCUAAAUUAAGUUUCCCAUUCCUUUUAUGCUCUUCUUUCAAGCAAUAAUAAUAAUAAUAAACCACUUUUCUAAGAUUAACAAAUAAGGAUGAAGAUGGCAGCCAUUUAAUGUGUUACUUUUCCCAAGGUGUACUUGUUUUUUUAGUAAAGGAUGACUGCAGACGGCAAAUCUUACCUAAGGUAGGAGAUUCAAGUAUGGUGGAAUUACCAUACCAGCCAAUGGGAGAGGGAGCAGAACCUUUCUAGAGAACUCUAGACAUUUCCACUCCAGGAGAUAGUCCUCUCUAUGCUAUGUCACAAAUGCACUUUUAAAUUGAAUUCAAGGAUACAUUUUACACAUAUUUUUCAGACUACAGUGGUUUUUUCAGCCUGAGAGGAAAGUUCACAAAGUUAGUCAUUAGUCUUCCCAUAAAAAUGGCCAUUCUUGGUGAUGCGCAGAUUAAAAUUGUACAGUUUGUGUUUCCUGUAGGUAAUCAUUUGAUGUGUGGUCAUGCUCAUUGUGCUUUUGUCACAUAUUUCUUCCAAGACUAUUAAACCGUUCUCUGAGAGUACUUUUAGCAAAGUCAGGUGUAGAGUUCAAUUUUAUCAUGCAUCCCCCCACACAUACAAAGUUGUGUGAAAUAAAUAUCAUCUAUCAAAUAACAAAUAUAUUGUUGGAAAACUGGGUGGAGGAAGCUGUAUAUUUAUUGAAUAAUGAUUUUUUAAAAAUAUUUUUAUGUUAUUUAGAUGUCAUGGUGUAUCAGUUAAAUCUUUGAUUCUAAAGGUCAAAUUACUAAAUACAAAUAUGCCAGUUCAAGGAAACUGAGUUGCUAGAUAUUUUAAGUUGACAUACAUUUCUUAAUAAUAAUCGAAAAAUCUUUUCAUCCUUUGAUCUUUCAUUGGUAGUCACUAAGUUAAAAUUUUUAAAACUUUAAAAUUAUCACUCUUUGAAGCUGUACAUCUAAGAAAAGGUUAAAAAAGCAAAUAAAAUGUGAAUACAGAGGGUUUAUUUUUAUAGGAAUUGGCACUUAUGCUGCUGGCUUGUAUAACAUAAUAUGUAUUAUUAUUUACAGCAAAGCAUUGCAGAAAUGUUAAAAACAUUUUUUUCAAUCCUAAAGAUUCCAGAAUUCUAAAGGCAUUAUGAAUCCAUACAUCACAGUAGUAGACACAUCAUUGGCACUCAUGGGAUGGAAUUGGCGCCAAUGAAGAUCUUAAAUUGGCAAAAUCAGAUUUAUUGUUACAAGGAAAGACUAGUAGCUAAUUUAAAAUGUUCACUAGGGAUAUAUGUCCUCUCAAGGUCACAGUGAGCUUGAUAUAUUAGAGAUAAUUGUGUACCGAAUAUAUUUGCAGAGGAUGUAAGUUUUCUUGUGGCAUUAAUGUGGCCAUUAAUAAUUGACUUAGAUAACAAAAAGAUGAAAGGGAACUUAAGGUUGGUUAGCAGCCCGAUGAUUGUCAUGCUGUAGAUACAUACAUUAUGGGUAUUUUUUUUUAAGAUGAGCAACGCUGAGUUUGAAACAACUUUUCAGCUUAGAACUUGAGGUUUCAUCUGUCAGUGGCAAAGAAUAAAUAGAAGUGCCAUGCUUUUUUAAGUAAAAAGUAUACUUUAACAGUUUAUCCCAUUAUCUCCAUGAUUUACUCAGGAUUUUCUAGCCCAUUGACCACAAAACAAUAUACUUCGGGAGAUGCCAACAUUGGUGGAGUUUGCUUAGAUAUAAACUGUGCCCAAGCCAAGAUUAUAUGCAAUUAACACACACCUCCAUCACUCUCCACACCCACACUUAACUACAAUUAGAGCUGACUUUUCUGAAGUAAAUGUCAAUUCUUGUUUCUCUGUGAAAGCAAUACAAAAGAAGCAAAAAGAGAAAUUUUGUAACAUUGGGGAAAGAUCCUGAGAGCACUUCUCCGCAGUCUUUAGAGAAUUUUAAAUCACUCUCCAAGAGAGAGAAUAAGAAGCAUACGGAAAUCACUUUACCUCUACAAAGAAAGCCACACAGAAUUGGGUGAGGACUGCCACCAAAAUCAAAACCCUCCAUGAUGUCAGGGUUGGGAUAAGCUGUUAAAAAAGAAAUACCAA